UACGUAGGGUGCGAGCGUUAAUCGGAAUUACUGGGCGUAAAGCGUGCGCAGGCGGUUUUGUAAGCCAGAUGUGAAAUCCCCGGGCUUAACCUGGGAAUGGCAUUUGGGACUGCAAGCUGGAGUUUGGCAGAGGAGACUGGGAAUUCCUGGGUGGUAGCAGUUGAAAUGCGUAGAUAAUUCAGGAGGAACACCGAUGGCGAAGGCAGGUCUCUGGGCUGAAACUGACCGUCAUGCACGAAAGCGUGGGGAGC
rnacentral:rRNA from 1 species